GGUAAGGCCCUUCGGGGUACACGAGCGGCGAACGGGUGAGUAACACGUGGGUGAUCUGCCUUGCACUUCGGGAUAAGCCUGGGAAACUGGGUCUAAUACCGGAUAUGACCACUGAUCGCAUGGUUGGUGGUGGAAAGAUUUAUCGGUGCGAGAUGGGCCCGCAGCCUAUCAGCUUGUUGGUGAGGUAACGGCUCACCAAGGCGACGACGGGUAGCCGACCUGAGAGGGUGACCGGCCACACUGGGACUGAGACACGGCCCAGACUCCUACGGGAGGCAGCAGUGGGGAAUAUUGCACAAUGGGCGAAAGCCUGAUGCAGCGACGCCGCGUGCGGGAUGACGGCCUUCGGGUUGUAAACCGCUUUUGACAGGGACGAAGCGCAAGUGACUGUACCUGUAGAAUAAGGACCGGCCAACUACGUGCCAACAGCCGCGGUAAUACGUAGGGUCCGAGCGUUGUCCGGAAUUACUGGGCGUAAAGAGCUUGUAGGCGGUUCGUCGCGUCGUUUGUGAAAACUUGGGGCUUCACCUUAAGCUUGCAGGCGAUACGGGCGGACUAGAGUACUUCAGGGGAGACUGGAAUUCCUGGUGUAGCGGUGAAAUGCGCAGAUAUCAGGAGGAACACCGGUGGCGAAAGCGGGUCUCUGAGAAGUAACUGACGCUGAGAAGCGAACGCAUGGGUAGCCAACAGGAUUAGAUACUCUGGUAGUCCAUGCCCGUAACCAGUGGGUACUACGUGUAGGGCUCCGUCCACGAACUCCGUGCCGUAGCUAACGCAUCAAGUACUUACGCCUGGGUAGUACAGCCGCAAGGACUAAACUCACAUGAUUUGACGGUG
rnacentral:rRNA from 1 species